UGCGGAAUUUUAGAUAAUGGAGGGAACUCUGAUCUAGCGACGCCGCGUGCAGGAAGAAGGUCUUCGGAUUGUAAACUGCUGUGGUAAGGGAAAAAUGCUAUGUAGAGUGGAAAGCUACAUAGAGGGAUGGUACCUUACUAGAAAGCCCCGGCUAACUACGUGCCAGCAGCCGCGGUAAUACGUAGGGGGCGAGCGUUACCCGGAAUCACUGGGCGUAAAGGGAGCGUAGGUGGCCUAACAUGUCAACUGUGAAAACCCGGAGCUCAACUCCGGACUUGCAGUUGAAACUGGUAGGCUUGAGGACGGUAGAGGAAGACGGAACUGCCAGUGUAGGGGUAAAAUCCUUAGAUAUUGGCAGGAACGCCGGUGACGAAGGGGGUUUUCUGGGCCGGUUCUGACACUGAUGCUC
rnacentral:rRNA from 1 species